AGUGGUGCAGGAAGUAGAGAAAAGAUUGCGUUAUAAGGAUAUUAAAGCAUCCCCUGGUAUCUGAAACCAGAAGCACAUCAAGGUCUCUGGAAAGGAUUAGAACCAGGGAAAUGUGCCUACCCAUAGUCCUGUACUGUGAAGAACGAUCAAGGACAAGAUAAACAAAAUGGCUGGUGAAUAUUGCUAUUCUCAAGAGUGGCACACAAAGUCUGAUCUGGUGUGAGCAGCAGAGCUGAAUAGUUAAGAAUCCUAAAUGAACCCUAUCAACCCCAUACACUGGUCGUGGGAAUGUAAUGGUGCAGCCGCUUUGAAGACAACUUGGCAGUUACACAGCGAGUUACCAUAUGACCCAUCAGUUCUACUCU